rnacentral:rRNA from 1 species
UACGAAGGGGGCUAGCGUUGCUCGGAAUUACUGGGCGUAAAGCGCACGUAGGCGGAUAUUUAAGUCAGGGGUGAAAUCCCGCAGCUCAACUGCGGAACUGCCUUUGAUACUGGGUAUCUUGAGUAUGGAAGAGGUAAGUGGAAUUCCGAGUGUAGAGGUGAAAUUCGUAGAUAUUGGGAAGAACACCGGUGGCGAAGGCGGCUCACUGGCUCAUUACUGACGCUCAGGCGCGAUAGCGUGGGGAGCAAACAGG